CGGGAGGUCCGUGCAGCCGCGCCGGCGCUGCAUAUAAGCCGGUGAGGAAAGUCCGGACACCACCACGUAGCGUGCUCGAUAACGUCGAGGCGGCAAUGCCUGCGAGCAAAGCCGACGGAAAGUGCCACAGAAACGACACCGCCACUGCCACCAUCGGCAGUGGUAAGGGUGAAAUGGUGCGGUAAGAGCGCACCGCACACGUGGUGACACGUGUGGCAGGGCAAACCCCACGCGGUGCAAGACCAAGUAGAUGCGGAUGUCCUGCGCGUGGCAGGCGCUUCUCCUCCGAGAGAAGCACGCAUCGGGUAGGUCGCACAAGAGGCUCGCAGUAAUGCGAUGCCCAAGGUACAUGGCUGCACGUGCUUCACAAAAGCACCGACAGAAUCCGGCUUACAGGACCUUUCGCCAA
rnacentral:RNase_P_RNA from 1 species